rnacentral:lncRNA from 1 species
AAUCUAUAAAUUGCUUUCUGAUAUAAGCUACUUUCUUUUUAAAAGUGUUUUUAGAAAAAAUAAAAAGCAUGUAAGAACACAGCUUUAAGACCAUUUUAAAAGAGAAUUUAAUCCAAUGGUUGUGAGCUGAAGUUGGUAAAGCCCACAUAAUGCUGGGUCAUGCACAUACCGAGAUACUCAACAAGGCUUUGAUGAAUAGGUGAAUCAAUGAAUGAAUGAAAUGCCUGAGGCCAUCCUGAUUCCCUCAAUG